AAACCAACAGGGAUUGCCCUAGUAACGGCGAGUGAAGCGGCAACAGCUCAAAUUUGAAAUCUGGCUCCUUGGGGCCCGAGUUGUAAUUUGUAGAGGAUGCUUUUGGCGCGGUGCCUUCCGAGUUCCCUGGAACGGGACGCCUUAGAGGGUGAGAGCCCCGUACGGUUGGACACCAAGCCUCUGUAAAGCUCCUUCGACGAGUCGAGUAGUUUGGGAAUGCUGCUCUAAAUGGGAGGUAAAUUUCUUCUAAAGCUAAAUAUUGGCCAGAGACCGAUAGCGCACAAGUAGAGUGAUCGAAAGAUGAAAAGCACUUUGAAAAGAGGGUUAAAUAGCACGUGAAAUUGUUGAAAGGGAAGCGUUUGCGACCAGACCUUUUCCUAGCGGAUCAUCCGGUGUUCUUCACCGGUGCACUUCGCUAGGUCGAGGCCAGCAUCGGUUUCUGCAGGGGGAUAAAAGCCCAGGGAACGUAGCUCUUUCGGGAGUGUUAUAGCCCUCCGCAUAAUACCCUUGCGGGGACCGAGGACCGCGCUUUUUGCAAGGAUGCUGGCGUAAUGGUCGUCAACGAC
rnacentral:rRNA from 4 species